rnacentral:rRNA from 1 species
CUACGGGUGGCACCAGUGAGGAAUAUUGCACAAUGGGGGGAACCCUGAUGCAGCAACGCCGCGUGGAGGAUGACGCAUUUCGGUGUGUAAACUCCUUUUAUAUGUCAAGAAAAUGACGGUAGCAUAUGAAUAAGCACCGGCUAACUCCGUGCCAGCAGCCGCGGUAAUACGGAGGGUGCAAGCGUUACUCGGAAUCACUGGGCGUAAAGGACGCGUAGGCGGGUUGGAAAGUCAGGUGUGAAAUCCUACAGCUUAACUGUAGAACUGCACUUGAAACUUCUAAUCUAGAGUAUGGGAGGGGGAGAUGGAAUUAGUGGUGUAGGGGUAAAAUCCGUAGAUAUCACUAGGAAUACCUAAAGCGAAGGCGAUCUCCUGGAACAUUACUGACGCUGAGGCGCGAAGGCGUGGGGAGCAAACAGGAUUAGAUACCCGGGUAGUC